rnacentral:rRNA from 1 species
GAUGAACGCUGGCGGCGUGCCUAAUACAUGCAAGUCGAGCGAACAGACGAGGAGCUUGCUCCUCUGACGUUAGCGGCGGACGGGUGAGUAACACGUGGAUAACCUACCUAUAAGACUGGGAUAACUUCGGGAAACCGGAGCUAAUACCGGAUAAUAUAUUGAACCGCAUGGUUCAAUAGUGAAAGACGGUUUUGCUGUCACUUAUAGAUGGAUCCGCGCCGCAUUAGCUAGUUGGUAAGGUAACGGCUUACCAAGGCAACGAUGCGUAGCCGACCUGAGAGGAGGAGCAGUCACAAGGGAACUGAGACAAGGGCAAGACUAGGACGGGAGGCAGCAGGGGGGAAUAUUGGACAAUGGGCGAAAGCGUGAGCAAGAAAUGACGCGUGUGUGAAGAAGGUCUUCGGAUUUUAAAGCACUUUAAGUUGGGAGGAAGGGCAGUAAGUGAAUACCUUGCUGUUUUGAAGUUACAAAAAGAAUAAGCACCGGCUAACUUCGUG